rnacentral:rRNA from 1 species
AUGAACGCUAGCUACAGGCUUAACACAUGCAAGUCGAGGGGCAUCAGGAAGAAAGCUUGCUUUCUUUGCUGGCGACCGGCGCACGGGUGAGUAACACGUAUCCAACCUGCCCUUUACUCGGGGAUAGCCUUUCGAAAGAAAGAUUAAUACCCGAUGGCAUAAUGAUUCCGCAUGGUUUCAUUAUUAAAGGAUUCCGGUAAAGGAUGGGGAUGCGUUCCAUUAGGUUGUUGGUGAGGUAACGGCUCACCAAGCCUUCGAUGGAUAGGGGUUCUGAGAGGAAGGUCCCCCACAUUGGAACUGAGACACGGUCCAAACUCCUACGGGAGGCAGCAGUGAGGAAUAUUGGUCAAUGGGCGCUAGCCUGAACCAGCCAAGUAGCGUGAAGGAUGAAGGCUCUAUGGGUCGUAAACUUCUUUUAUAUAAGAAUAAAGUGCAGUAUGUAUACUGUUUUGUAUGUAUUAUAUGAAUAAGGAUCGGCUAACUCCGUGCCAGCAGCCGCGGUAAUACGGAGGAUCCGAGCGUUAUCCGGAUUUAUUGGGUUUAAAGGGAGCGUAGGUGGACUGGUAAGUCAGUUGUGAAAGUUUGCGGCUCAACCGUAAAAUUGCAGUUGAUACUGUCAGUCUUGAGUACAGUAGAGGUGGGCGGAAUUCGUGGUGUAGCGGUGAAAUGCUUAGAUAUCACGAAGAACUCCGAUUGCGAAGGCAGCUCACUGGACUGCAACUGACACUGAUGCUCGAAAGUGUGGGUAUCAAACAGGAUUAGAUACCCUGGUAGUCCACACAGUAAACGAUGAAUACUCGCUGUUUGCGAUAUACAGUAAGCGGCCAAGCGAAAGCAUUAAGUAUUCCACCUGGGGAGUACGCCGGCAACGGUGAAACUCAAAGGAAUUGACGGGGGCCCGCACAAGCGGAGGAACAUGUGGUUUAAUUCGAUGAUACGCGAGGAACCUUACCCGGGCUUAAAUUGCAGUGGAAUGAUGUGGAAACAUGUCAGUGAGCAAUCACCGCUGUGAAGGUGCUGCAUGGUUGUCGUCAGCUCGUGUCGUGAGAUGUUGGGUUAAGUCCCGCAACGAGCGCAACCCUUAUCCUUUGUUGCCAGCGGUCCGGCCGGGAACUCAAAGGAGACUGCCAGUGAUAAACUGGAGGAAGGUGGGGAUGACGUCAAAUCAGCACGGCCCUUACGUCCGGGGCUACACACGUGUUACAAUGGGGGGUACAGAAGGCAGCUAGCGGGUGACCGUAUGCUAAUCCCAAAAUCCUCUCUCAGUUCGGAUCGAAGUCUGCAACCCGACUUCGUGAAGCUGGAUUCGCUAGUAAUCGCGCAUCAGCCACGGCGCGGUGAAUACGUUCCCGGGCCUUGUACACACCGCCCGUCAAGCCAUGGGAGCCGGGGGUACCUGAAGUACGUAACCGCAAGGAUCGUCCUAGGGUAAAACUGGUGACUGGGGCU